GCUGAAACUCGCAUACAUGAAGCUGGAGUUACUAGUAAUCGCAGAUCAGAAUGCUGCGGUGAACGCGUUCCCGGGUCUUGUACACACCGCCCGUCACACCACGGGAGUUGGAGACGCCCGAAGCCGAUUAUCUAACCUUUUGGAAGAAGUCGUCGAAGGUGGAAUCAAUAACUGGGGUGAAGUCGUAACAAGGUAGCCGUAUCGGAAGGUGCGGCUGGAUCACCUCCUUU
rnacentral:rRNA from 1 species